GACGAACGCUGGCGGCGUGCUUAAUACAUGCAAGUCGAACGGAAAGGCCCUGCUUUUGUGGGGUGCUCGAGUGGCGAACGGGUGAGUAACACGUGAGUAACCUGCCCUUGACUUUGGGAUAACUUCAGGAAACUGGGGCUAAUACCGGAUAGGAGCUCCUGCUGCAUGGUGGGGGUUGGAAAGUUUCGGCGGUUGGGGAUGGACUCGCGGCUUAUCAGCUUGUUGGUGGGGUAGUGGCUUACCAAGGCUUUGACGGGUAGCCGGCCUGAGAGGGUGACCGGCCACAUUGGGACUGAGAUACGGCCCAGACUCCUACGGGAGGCAGCAGUGGGGAAUAUUGCACAAUGGGCGGAAGCCUGAUGCAGCAACGCCGCGUGCGGGAUGACGGCCUUCGGGUUGUAAACCGCUUUCGCCUGUGACGAAGCGUGAGUGACGGUAAUGGGUAAAGAAGCACCGGCUAACUACGUGCCAGCAGCCGCGGUGAUACGUAGGGUGCGAGCGUUGUCCGGAUUUAUUGGGCGUAAAGGGCUCGUAGGUGGUUGAUCGCGUCGGAAGUGUAAUCUUGGGGCUUAACCCUGAGCGUGCUUUCGAUACGGGUUGACUUGAGGAAGGUAGGGGAGAAUGGAAUUCCUGGUGGAGCGGUGGAAUGCGCAGAUAUCAGGAGGAACACCAGUGGCGAAGGCGGUUCUCUGGGCCUUUCCUGACGCUGAGGAGCGAAAGCGUGGGGAGCGAACAGGCUUAGAUACCCUGGUAGUCCACGCUGUAAACGGUGGGUACUAGGUGUGGGGUCCAUUCCACGGGUUCCGUGCCGUAGCUAACGCUUUAAGUACCCCGCCUGGGGAGUACGGCCGCAAGGCUAAAACUCAAAGGAAUUGACGGGGCCCCGCACAAGCGGCGGAGCAUGCGGAUUAAUUCGAUGCAACGCGUAGAACCUUACCUGGGUUUGACAUGGAUCGGGAGUGCUCAGAGAUGGGUGUGCCUCUUUUGGGGUCGGUUCACAGGUGGUGCAUGGCUGUCGUCAGCUCGUGUCGUGAGAUGUUGGGUUAAGUCCCGCAACGAGCGCAACCCUUGUUCACUGUUGCCAGCACGUUAUGGUGGGGACUCAGUGGAGACCGCCGGGGUCAACUCGGAGGAAGGUGGGGAUGACGUCAAGUCAUCAUGCCCCUUAUGUCCAGGGCUUCACGCAUGCUACAAUGGCUGGUACAGAGAGUGGCGAGCCUGUGAGGGUGAGCGAAUCUCGGAAAGCCGGUCUCAGUUCGGAUUGGGGUCUGCAACUCGACCUCAUGAAGUCGGAGUCGCUAGUAAUCGCAGAUCAGCAACGCUGCGGUGAAUACGUUCCCGGG
rnacentral:rRNA from 1 species